GAACCGUACGAACGUUUAUUCGGAAUUAUUGGGCUUAAAGGGUGCGUAGGCGGUGCGGUAAGUGAGGUGUGAAAGCCCUCGGCUCAACCGAGGAAUUGCGCUUCAUACUGCCACACUUGAGGGAGACAGAGGUAAGCGGAACUGAUGGUGGAGCGGUGAAAUGCGUUGAUAUCAUCAGGAACACCAGUGGCGAAAGCGGCUUACUGGAUCUCUUCUGACGCUGAGGCACGAAAGCUAGGGGUAGCGAACGGGAUUAGAUACCCCGGUAGUCCUAGCUGUAAACGAUGAGCACUUGGUCGGGGGAUCCCCCUCAUAGGUUCCCGAUCGUAGCGAAAGUGUUAAGUGCUCCGCCUGGGGAGUAUGGUCGCAAGUCUG
rnacentral:rRNA from 1 species